UAUUUUAUUAGAUAACAGACCAAUAUUCUUCGUGUCUAUUGCGGUGAAUCCUAGUAACUAAUCGGAUCGUAUGGGCUAGUCCCUCGAAAACCAUUCAAGUUUCUGCCCCAUCAGCUUUCGAUGGUAGUGUAUUGGACUACCAUGGCUUUCACGGGUAACGGAGGAUUAUGGUUCGAUUCCGGAGAGGGAGCCUGAGAAACGGCUACCACAUCUAAGGAAGGCAGCAGGCGCGUAAAUUACCCAAUUCUGACUCAGAGAGGUAGUG
rnacentral:rRNA from 1 species